rfam:Triticum aestivum genome assembly, contig: Triticum_aestivum_CS42_TGACv1_scaffold_393665_5AS
GGAUGCGAUCAUAAAAGCACUAAAGCACCGGAUCCCAUCAGAACUCCGAAGUUAAGCGUGCUUGGGCGAGAGUAGUACUAGGAUGGGUGACCUCCUGAGAAGUCCUCGUGUUGCAUUCC